rnacentral:lncRNA from 1 species
CUUUUCACUAGCCAUCCCUAAUAGUUUAUUACAAAGUUAUUAUAGUCCAAAGAAAAUAAAACAAAGAAAAUACAUCAGAAAUUAAAAAUUACAACCAAGGAGAGCCUGAUUCAGACUUCCUGUCUGAAGUAUGAAGUAAACCAACUCCAAAGAUCAUGUUUCAAAGCCUUUCUACCUCUUGCGUGUGUUAGAGUUCGCUGAGAGUUUCAUAAGAACUCUGGGCAGUGCUUACACGCAAAGGUAUCAGCAUAUUGAGCCAAAGUACAGAGCGGAAGUGCCAGCCCUCAGGUGUCCAAGUUUAGAGGAAACUCAAGGUCCCAAGGCAAGGCUCACAAGAGGGAGGCAGAACUUAAGAACUAAGAGAGAGUGCAAGUGCAGAAUUCUGAAAGGGGAAAAAGAGAAGGGACACAGUACACAUAGGGAUAUAGGGAAUGGGGAAUUGCAAGAGGUAAAAGCAGGCUAGUGGGCAUAACCCAAUAAUGGGAGAUGCUGUCACACCCAUAAGCCUACCGGAACACAUUGUUUAGAGGUUAGGAUCCCCUAAGUGAUCAGGUUUAAUCCAUAGACAAUAACUUGCAUAUUGCCACGUUUUAAACUGUAGCUCAAAGCACACAAAGGGACUAGGGAGUAAGGGUUCAUAGCAGAAACAAGCAAAAGAAUUCGACAUGCUAGGUUAAGCAUUUAAAUCUACAGAAGUAGUAAAGUAGACAUGGAUACCAAAAAGAUGUAAGUAAACAUAUUGUGGUGAUGCUGAAACUUAAAACUAGUACAUACCAGUUUCAAAGAAAAUAGAGAAAAUGCAGUAGUCUUGUGAAAGUCAAAAUGCAGACAAGAAGAGAGGUCUAUUAUGUGAGUAAGAGUUCAGAAGAGAUUGUGAAUUGUGAAGUGUGUCUUUGUGAAGAAAAGGUCGUGCGUUUUGUAGUAUAGAAAGUCAUGAGGAAACACGAUAAGAAAAUAUUUAAGGAACUAAUUGUCAAUCAAUUACACAAGACUUCUCUUAAUUAAGGAAUUCAGAUUCAAACAUGUAUAAAACAAUUAAGGAAAGAAAUUAAUCAAACACUUUGUGCAAAUUAGGC